UUUUAAGUGUAACUAUAUUCCAUGCACUAUUUGGGACAUAGUUACACUAAAA
rnacentral:pre_miRNA from 1 species